AUUGAACGCUGGCGGCAUGCUUUACACAUGCAAGUCGAACGGCAGCGCGGGCUUCGGCCUGGCGGCGAGUGGCGAACGGGUGAGUAAUACAUCGGAACGUGCCCAGUAGUGGGGGAUAGCUCGGCGAAAGCCGGAUUAAUACCGCAUACGACCUGAGGGUGAAAGCGGGGGAUCUUCGGACCUCGCGCUAUUGGAGCGGCCGAUGGCAGAUUAGCUAGUUGGUGGGGUAAAGGCCUACCAAGGCGACGAUCUGUAGCUGGUCUGAGAGGACGACCAGCCACACUGGGACUGAGACACGGCCCAGACUCCUACGGGAGGCAGCAGUGGGGAAUUUUGGACAAUGGGCGAAGGCCUGAUCCAGCAAUGCCGCGUGUGUGAUGAAGGCCUUCGGGUUGUAAAGCACUUUUGGCGGGAACGAAAAGGACUGUGCCAAUACCACGGUUGGAUGACGGUACCCGCAGAAUAAGCACCGGCUAACUACGUG
rnacentral:rRNA from 1 species